rnacentral:rRNA from 1 species
AAGGAAUAUUGGUCAAUGGACGCAAGUCUGAACCAGCCAUGCCGCGUGGAGGAUUAAGGCCCUCUGGGUUGUAAACUCCUUUUAUCUGGGAAGAAAUGUACUUUUUCUUGAGUACUUGACGGUACCAGAGGAAUAAGCACCGGCUAACUCCGUGCCAGCAGCCGCGGUAAUACGGAGGGUGCAAGCGUUAUCCGGAUUCACUGGGUUUAAAGGGUGCGUAGGUGGGCAGGUAAGUCAGUGGUGAAAUCUCCGGGCUUAACCCGGAAACUGCCGUUGAUACUAUUUGUCUUGAAUAUUGUGGAGGUAAGCGGAAUAUGUCAUGUAGCGGUGAAAUGCUUAGAUAUGACAUAGAACACCAAUUGCGAAGGCAGCUUACUACACAAUCAUUGACGCUGAGGCACGAAAGCGUGGGGAUCGAACA